rnacentral:rRNA from 1 species
AGUGAACGCUGGCGGCAGGCCUAAUACAUGCAAGUCGAACGGCAGCACAGUGGAGCUUGCUCCAUGGGUGGCGAGUGGCGGACGGGUGAGGAAUACAUGGGAAUCUGCCCAGUCGUGGGGGAUAACGUAUGGAAACGUACGCUAAUACCGCAUGCGCCCUUCGGGGGAAAGUCGGGGACCGCAAGGCCUGACGCGAUUGGAUGAGCCCAUGUUCGAUUAGCUAGUUGGCGGGGUAACGGCCCACCAAGGCGACGAUCGAUAGCUGGUCUGAGAGGAUGAUCAGCCACACUGGAACUGAGACACGGUCCAGACUCCUACGGGAGGCAGCAGGCUAGAAAUUUGGGCAAUGGGGGAAACCCUGACCCAGUGACGCCGCGUGCAGGAAGGAGCCCUUCGGGGUGUAAACUGCUGUCGUGUAGGGAGAAGGGUACUAAGGUGAACAAUCUUAGUACUUGACGGUACUACAGGAGGAAGCCCAGGCUAACCUCGUGCCAGCACG